UGAUACUUGACCCAGUUUUCUUACUCCGCCAUAACAUACAAUAGAUCUAAAGAACCAAAGUGAGCCUCCAUGCCACCUCCACGCCAUCUCCCUCACCUUUUGAGAAGUUCUUUGAGGGUUUCCUAUCUGAAUCCAUCUCCCCGCUGCCUUCAUCACCUACUCUUUCUCUUUCCUCGAUGUAGCUACCUGCUUCGUCACGCUUGUAGCUUUGAGGAGAAGGUUAGGAACACGUGAUUGUACUAUUAUAUUCUCUCUUCCCUCUUAUCUCGCUAAUGAACUCCUCCCGCCAUGAACUGACAUCCCAAUCUCCCCAGAUCCUAUCAUUUCUCCAAGGUAACCAAUCCAUGCUGUUGAAAGCAGUUCUUUUACUAUGACUGUUGUUAGUAGUAUGCUAUGUAUAGUCAGAGAUGUUGAGUUUGUGAGCAAUGUAGAUAAAUAAUGUGAUACUUGUGAGUUUAAUUGGGGAUUCAUUAGUUUUUUUUUUGUAGCAACUUUGUGUUGGUAGUAGAAAUGCUAUGUUGAGGUUUAAUUGGGGAUUUCUUAUUGAAAUGAGGAAUUUUACUGUUUUAAUA